AGCUAAUACUUGCUUUAGCACUCUUGAUUAAGUUCUUGAGUGUGUACUUGUUAAGCCUUUUAAGAAAAAAGUUAUUAACUUAAGGAAUUAUAACAAAGAAGUAACACGUAAUGGAUCCGUCCAUUUUUAGUGUGUAUCAAUCGAGUUUCUGACCUAUCAGCUUUUGAUGUUAGGGUAUUGGCCUAACAUGGCUAUGACGGGUAACGGGGAAUUAGAGUUCGAUUCCGGAGAGGGAGCCUGAGAAAUAGCUACCGCAUCUAAGGAAGGCAGCAGGCGCGUAAAUUACCCAAUUCUAAAAAAGAGAGGUAGUGACAAGAAAUAACAAUACAAGGCCAAUCUGGCUUUGUAAUUGGAAUGAUGGGAAUUUAAAACCUUCCCAAAACUCCAUUGGAGGGCAAGUCUGGUGCCAGCAGCCGCGGUAAUUCCAGCUCCAAUAGCGUAUAUUAAAAUUGUUGCAGUUAAAACGCUCGUAGUUGAAUUUCAAAGAAUCGAUAUUUUAAGUAACGCUUUUAGUUUAAUCCACAUAACUGAUACUACGUAUCGACUUUGUGCGCAUUUUGCUAUUAUGUGUUCUUUUAAUUAAAAUGAUUCUUUUUAAGGUCUUUCUUUUGCUCCGGCAUUUGAAGAUCUUGUUACUUUGAGUAAAUUAGAGUGUUCAAAGCAAACAGAUAUAGCAUUGCGCGUUUGAAUACUACAGCAUGGAAUAACAAAAUUGAACAAGUCAGAAUUUUGUUCUUUUUUCUUAUUUUGGCUUAGUUACGAUUAAUAGGAGUAGCUUGGGGGCAUUUGUAUUCAGAUGUCAGAGGUGAAGUUCUUAGAUUUUCUGGAGACAAACAACUGCGAAAGCAUUUGCCUAAAAUACUUCCAUUAAUCAAGAACGAAAGUUAAGGGAGUGAAGACGAUCAGAUACCGUCGUAAUCUUAACCAUAAACUAUACCGACUAGGUUUUGGAUGAAAGUAAAACAAAUAAGGAUAGUCUCUUCGGGGAUAGUCCUUAGAUUUCUUCCUUCAGUACCCUAUGAGAAAUCAAAGUCUUUGGGUUCUGGGGCGAGUAUUCGCGCAAGCGAGAAAGUUAAAAGAAUUGACGGAAGGGCACCACCAGGCGUGGAGCUUGCGGCUUAAUUUGACUCAACACGGGAAAACUCACUAGUUUAAGACAAGAGUAGGAUUGACAGAUUAAUAGCUCUUUCUUGAUUUCUUGGAUGGUGAUGCAUGGCCGUUUUUAGUUCGUGAAUAUGAUUUGUCUGGUUAAUUCCGAUAACGAACGAGAUCUUAACCUGCUAAUUAGCGGUAAGUACGACAUAUUUUUAUAUCGAAUUGGAUAUGUAUGAUUUGCUAAAUUGCGGUCGCAAAUAAUGAAGAUCUUGAUUGCUUUUCACGUCAGUGUUUUCCAGAAUCGUUGACGUGACUAGUAUAUUCUCGCUCCUUCUGUUCCCUGGACUUCACUUCCCUGGCUUAUCAUACCGUUUCCUUUUUGUGUAGAAAUGUAUUUAUUUUAUGUAAAGCUUCUUAGAGGAACGAUGUGUGUCUAACACAAG
rnacentral:rRNA from 1 species